AUGUUCUCAGCUCUGGAUCAAACUGUUUGCACUUCUGUCUACAACAACUCCAGAACUUCAGACCCAGAACAAUGCUAAAGCAGUGGUGCUGGACACUUCUGCGGGCAUUGGAUGCCCCUUUUCACUCCUGCUGAAGAACAGCUCCUUAGUGAGCCACUUUAUCUUCAACAAUAUUGCUUAUAUGAGUAAGCAGAAGAUCUGAGUCACCGUGAGUUUAGAGCAAAUAUGAAAGGCUACCUUGGACCUGAGUAUUCACCAGAAUGCCUAAGUGGUUGUCAUGUAGUGGGAGUCCCAGGUGGAGUGCAUGAAUGAUAUGGGAUGAUUUGUUCACCAAUGCCACUACUAUAAUCAUACUAUCAGAAACCUAUGCCCAGUACUGACCUGAAGCCAUGAACUGCAUCAUUGUCAACACGAUUAAAAGCAACAUCCAAAUCAAACAAAAGUUUUCAGGAAGCAUAGCAUAUACAACCCAAACAAAAUAAUUGACUUGACAGUCCUUGACAUCAUUAAAGCAAUCACGAUUUUAGAAAAGAUGAAGUGUUUAUAUACAGCUCAAGUCAAUAUUCCUGCAAUUGGUGAGAAUGAUGGAAAGAUGAACACCUGUUGAUUUCUCAGCAUACACCCAAAGUUGGCUUUCCUCAAGACAAGCUUGCUUCACUCACCAGAAAUAUCCAGAAGGAUAAUAUGGAUAUCAUGAAGGUCAAUGCUGGAUCAGGUUCUGAAGGAGUUGUUGGGUUCUAUUUUGUUCAAAACAAAAAGACAAAGUACACUUUUCUUUCUCCAUACUUUUUCUUUUGAUAAGAAAGGGCUUGGGGAUCAACUUGGUAUUGGGGAAAAAAAAUCACUCCUUUGGAGGAGAAAAUGAUGUCUGAGGCUAUUGCUUAGCUGAAAGUCUCCAUUAAGAAGAUGAAGUGACAGGUU
rnacentral:lncRNA from 1 species